rnacentral:lncRNA from 13 species
GCUACAGAGAUGGGCUCCUGGAUCACCUCAAGGUCAUCCUUGAUCGACCACCGCAUAUGUGGAAGCUGUGCAUCCCAGGACCCCUGUCAGCCCAGUGUGAGAGGCCUGACCUAUGCAUCCCAGGACCCCUGUCAGCCCAGUGUGAGAGGCCUGACCUAUGCAUCCCAGGACCCCUGUCAGCCCAGUGUGAGAGGCCUGACCUAUGCAUCCCAGGACCCCNNNNNNNNNNAAUACACAGUAACUCCUCACUGUCCAACAGGCAGCUUUCAAAUACACAGUAACUCCUCACUGUCCAACAGGCAGCUUUCAAAUACACAGUAACUCCUCACUGUCCAACAGGCAGCUUUCAAAUACACAGUAACUCCUCACUGUCCAACAGGCAGCUUUCAAAUACACAGUAACUCCUCACUGUCCAACAGGCAGCUUUCAAAUACACAGUAACUCCUCACUGUCCAACAGGCAGCUUUCAAAUACACAGUAACUCCUCACUGUCCAACAGGCAGCUUUCAAAUACACAGUUACCCCUCACUGUCCAACAGGCAAUAAGAUAGUCAUAGGCCUACCAUAGGUCAUACUGGUUACUUCCAUGGUCACAUGUUUGAGGUGACUGGUAACACUCAGAGCAACAAUAUGAAAAGCUAAACAAGGUAUACUUUACAUUCCUUGCAUUCAUAAUCUUUUUAUUUACAAUAACUUUCUAUUCAAAUAAAUAAAGAGUCUUGUCUAUUUCUAGACAAUCAAAGGAACCAUGAAUCUUGGGGGUGACAGAAUUGUAACAUUGACACAGGCCUACAGUACAACAAGACCGGGCUACAGAGAUGGGCUCCUGGAUCACCUCAAGGUCAUCCUUGAUCGACCACCGCAUAUGUGGAAGCUGUGCAUCCCAGGACCCCUGUCAGCCCAGUGUGAGAGGCCUGACCUAUGCAUCCCAGGACCCCUGUCAGCCCAGUGUGAGAGGCCUGACCUAUGCAUCCCAGGACCCCUGUCAGCCCAGUGUGAGAGGCCUGACCUAUGCAUCCCAGGACCCCUGUCAGCCCAGUGUGAGAGGCUUGACCUAUGCAUCCCAGGACCCCUGUCGGCCCAGUGUGAGAGGCCUGACCUAUGCAUCCCAGGACGCCUGUCGGCCCAGUGUGAGAGGCCUGACCUAUGCAUCCCAGGACGCCUGUCGGCCCAGUGUGANNNNNNNNNNGCCCAGUGUGAGAGGCCUGACCUAUGCAUCCCAGGACCCCUGUCAGCCCAGUGUGAGAGGCCUGACCUAUGCAUCCCAGGACCCCUGUCAGCCCAGUGUGAGAGGCCUGACCUAUGCAUCCCAGGACCCCUGUCAGCCCAGUGUGAGAGGCUUGACCUAUGCAUCCCAGGACCCCUGUCGGCCCAGUGUGAGAGGCCUGACCUAUGCAUCCCAGGACGCCUGUCGGCCCAGUGUGAGAGGCCUGACCUAUGCAUCCCAGGACGCCUGUCGGCCCAGUGUGAGAGGUCUGACCUAUGCAUCCCAGGACCCCUGUUGGCCCAGUGUGAGAGGCCUGACAAGGAGGCGGGCAUAGCUAUUUGUCUCCCACGUCAAUCUUGAGGGUGACUGAAGCCUGCUUGAUUGAAGUGGGGUAUGCUGGUCCCCAUCAAUCUCUGUAGGUGGUUGAGUUUUCUAAAGUCAAAAUAAAUCACGUUUACGUGAUGACAUCACACUUUGUUGCUUUGUAUUGUUUCUUCAAGCAUUCGGACAGGAGAGCAGUGUUACAAAUUGUAUGAGUCAAAGGGUCCUGCACACUGUUGGGUGGCCGGGUGCCCAUAUAAGGCAUAUGGCUCUAAUAUAUUCCUUAAAUGUCAAAUGAUGUCUCAUCAUCAUUUAUGUUGAUCAAUAUUUCGGUUGUGCUGGCCUAAUUUGUAAAUGAUCAAAUAAAUGUCUGAUCAAUACAUACAAUUCCGAAUAUAUUGUUAUUUAUAAUGCUAAUGAAGAGGCACCAAAAAAUUGUCCAGUACACUCAUUCAUUAUAUGCUGUUUUCAUAUGUCUACGCUUCUAAGGUGUCUCGGGCUUUACUAAUUAUUGUAAAGAAAUGUAUUCUGUAAUUAGUUACAAAACAAUAGUCUGACUAAACUUCAUAUGGAGAAAAGGAAUGCUGUAUUCUAUUUUGGAAACAGACGACUUUGUUAUUGGACUAAUAUAUGCAUAAACACAGUGCAUCUGUACACCAAGAAUGAUAUGUAAAUGUGACACAUGUCAAGAACACGAGCCAGUUCUCUUGGCCAUGAGAGCAUUUUGCAGAGAAAAUGGGUUGUGAAUUACAAUUUAGGUAAGGAUUGUUUACCUUGUUACCAGGCGACGACCACAAGGGCGUUUUCAAAGAGCUCUCAUUCAAGGCGAGCUCAUGAAUAUAAGCUCUCCUCCCACUCAGCCUGUUCUUUCAGGCUUCCCGAUAGUUAGAGAUGAGAGAAGGUACAAUUUCUUCAAUUCUGAGCAUUAAUGGUGUAAAAAUAUUAUGGGGGAUGUUUUGGUCAUGCAAAGGCUAUUUUUGCUUGGGAAAUAGGAUGAUUUAGGAGAAAUUGUAGAAAUAGGCAGGGUUUAGGGUCGUCAUUAGUUGACACAAAGUCCUUUUUAAUACAAAAAAACAGACAAUGCUGACAUAAUUUCUGAUUUCUUAAAGAAAAUAGUGAGGUAAUAAACAAUAUCUUUAUAAAUGAUUGUAAAGCAAUAAAUAAUUUAAGACUAUAUACUGGAUACUGAGUUAUUAACAAAAGGAGCAAAGUUCACAGUACACAUGGAGAAAUGCCUGUAAAAUGACUAGCAUACAUCCAAAGUCAUGUUUAACAUGUGACUGGACAGCCUAUAUCCCAAGUCAUGUUUAACACAUGUGACUGGACAGCCUAUAUCCCAAGUCAUGUUUAACACGUGACUGGACAGCCUAUAUCCCAAGUCAUGUUUAAUACAUGUGACUGGACAGCCUAUAUCCCAAGUCAUGUUUAAUACAUGUGACUGGACAGCCUAUAUCCAAAGUCAUGUUUAACACACGUGACUGGACAGCCUGUAUCCCAAGUCAUGUUUAAUACAUGUGACUNNNNNNNNNNGCCCAGUGUGAGAGGCCUGACCUAUGCAUCCCAGGACCCCUGUCAGCCCAGUGUGAGAGGCCUGACCUAUGCAUCCCAGGACCCCUGUCAGCCCAGUGUGAGAGGCCUGACCUAUGCAUCCCAGGACCCCUGUCAGCCCAGUGUGAGAGGCUUGACCUAUGCAUCCCAGGACCCCUGUCGGCCCAGUGUGAGAGGCCUGACCUAUGCAUCCCAGGACGCCUGUCGGCCCAGUGUGAGAGGCCUGACCUAUGCAUCCCAGGACGCCUGUCGGCCCAGUGUGAG